rnacentral:rRNA from 1 species
UACGGAGGGGGCUAGCGUUGUUCGGAAUUACUGGGCGUAAAGCGCACGUAGGCGGCUUUGUAAGUUAGAGGUGAAAGCCCGGGGCUCAACUCCGGAAUUGCCUUUAAGACUGCAUCGCUAGAACGUCGGAGAGGUAAGUGGGAUUCCGAGUGUAGAGGUGAAAUGCGUAGAUAUCGGAAAGAACACCAGUGGCGAAGGCGGCUUCCUGGACUCAUACUGACGUUGAGGCGCGAAAGCGUGGGUAGCAAACAGG